CUGGCCUGGCCACUUUCGUCCCCCCGGAGGGAGGGGCUGCACAGCUCCCUGCACGUCCGAUGCCUUGGGCUCCCUUCCCAGAGGGAUGUCCCCGCUCCUGGCAGCCCGGCCAGACGGAGGGGACAACCCAUGCUCCCCUACCCGAGGCCCACUAGAAAGCACGGACAUCACAGAGAAAAGGAGAAUCGCUCCUUUUCUGAAUGCUGAAUCCCUCCAGCAGCUUGACAGCCAGGACCUUUACUAUGACUUUGAGACUAAGGUGAUGGUAACCACUGAUUAAGGAGGCAUUGGGGAGGCAUUGGGGAGGCAAGGACAAUCCCCAGACAUGGACUGUAUAUCUCGAAACAAGACACUGGAACUCAUGAUAAGGAAGUGGCAGACGGACAGAGAAACAAA